rnacentral:rRNA from 1 species
GAGUUUGAUCAUGGCUCAGGACGAACGCUGGCGGCGCGCCUAACACAUGCAAGUCGAACGGGAUGCGGAGAGGAUUUAUCUUUUCUGUGUUUAGUGGCGAACGGGUGAGUAACGCGUGAGGAACCUGCCUCAAAGAGGGGACGAACAGUUGGAACGACUGCUAAUACGCAUAAGCCACGGUCCGCAUGGAGAGAGGAAAGGAAGUGAUCCGCUUGUAGAUGGCCUCGCGUCCGAUUAGCUGGUUGGUGAGGUAACGGCCCACCAAGGCGACGAUCGGUAGCCGGACUGAGAGGUUGAACGGCCACA